GUGCCAGCCGCCGCGGUAAUACGUAGGUGACAAGCGUUAUCCGGAUUUAUUGGGCGUAAAGCGCACGCAAGCGGUCGGACAAGUCUGACGUGAAAUCUCCUGGCUUAACCAGGAGCGGUCGUUGGAAACUGUUUGGCUUGAGGCGAUGAGAGGGGUGCAGAAUUCCUGGUGUAGUGGUGGAAUGCGUAGAUAUCAGGAGGAAUACCUGUGGCGAAAGCGGCACCCUGGCAUUAGCCUGACGCUCAUGUGCGAAAGCGUGGGGAGCGAACGGGAUUAGAAACCCGCGUAGUCC
rnacentral:rRNA from 1 species